UACGUAGGUGGCGAGCGUUGUCCGGAUUUACUGGGCGUAAAGAGCGCGCAGGCGGUCGUUCAAGUCGAGUGUGAAAGCCCCCGGCUCAACUGGGGAGGGUCAUUCGAUACUGAUCGACUCGAAGGCAGGAGAGGGAAGUGGAAUUCCCGGUGUAGUGGUGAAAUGCGUAGAUAUCGGGAGGAACACCAGUGGCGAAGGCGACUCUUUGGCCUGUAACUGACGCUGAGGCGCGAAAGCGUGGGGAGCAAACAGG
rnacentral:rRNA from 1 species